UGCGGAACGCGUCUUCUGAAGGGCGAGAGCGCGCGGGUGUUGUUGCCAAUGCCGAUUCGACGGUGUUGCGGCUGUUGAGAACUUACAGUGACUAGGACUGCGAUGCUAGGCGCUCUUCCUUGGGCGGGGGAAGAAACUCUAAAUAGGCACAGGAUCGACGGAGCUCGAUGAAAUCCAAAUGGAGAGGCGAGGAGCUUACCACUUUCCAGCCUGUGUAUACUUCGUCGACCAGCCGCGGCCCGUGGGCAGUGUUCAGUAAAGCCUACUCCCAGGAAAUAUGCAUAGGAUUGCAUUGUGAGAAACGUACGGCACAAUCCUAUGCAUGUUUACUAAGGUCUCAUUUAGGUGCAGGCCCUGCAUGCUUCUUGCGAGUGUAAGUCUCAUGGAACACAAUGGAACUUUUGAGUAAACAAGCACGCAUGGAAUUGCACACUCUUCGUCUGCAAUCCUAAACAUACCGUAAAUCCCAUUGGACACUGUGCAGGAGCAACUCUAAAACAACUAUUACGGUAUGAGGGAGCAAAGCCCUGGCAAAGAACAUUACUGUUGGACCACAACUCCCAUUACCCCUAGGCGGGGAUGAUAACAUGAUGAGGACCCAAGUUUGAGAACCCUGAGUUAAGGUAAUCAAUUUGUCUCCCACUUACGUGGCUGCACUGGUUUCUACAGUGAAGCUAAUGAAUGAGGCUUCUUUUAAAAAAACCACACACAAACAAACACAGGCCUUUCAAAAUAAUUCAAGCUAUAGACCAUAAUAUUCUAUGACUGAAUUGUGUGACAC